AUGAACACUAGCCCAGAACCACCACAAGCGGCCGCCAAGGUUUUACUUACCCCUUUCUCUCUCUAUGCCAUUCCCUCAGUUGUUGACGCCUUUGCUGUAUUUUUCCUUAAACUGCAGUUGGGAAGGGUGUACUGGAGUCAAAGUUUAGCUUCUGGGCACAAAUUUAUUAACAGUAUUGCAAACCUGCUGGCCUUUUCGGGAUGGGCGAGUGCAAGUGUUGUGGUAAGUUAG